ACAGCAGCAGCCGCGGGAAAACAGAGGGUGCGAGCGUUAAUCGGAUUUACUGGGCGUAAAGCGUGCGUAGGCGGCUUUUUAAGUCGGAUGUGAAAUCCCUGAGCUUAACUUAGGAAUUGCAUUCGAUACUGGGAAGCUAGAGUAUGGGAGAGGAUGGUAGAAUUCCAGGUGUAGCGGUGAAAUGCGUAGAGAUCUGGAGGAAUACCGAUGGCGAAGGCAGCCAUCUGGCCUAAUACUGACGCUGAGGUACGAAAGCAUGGGGAGCAAACAGGAUUAGAUACCCCUGUAGUCCCUGUCUCUUAUAC
rnacentral:rRNA from 1 species